UACAGAGGUCCCGAGCGUUGUUCGGAUUCACUGGGCGUAAAGGGUGCGUAGGUGGCAUAGAAAGUUUGAUGUGAAAGCUCAGGGCUUAACCCUGAAAUGGCAUUGAAUACUGCUGUGCUGGAGGUUUGGAGGGGGGACUGGAAUUCUUGGUGUAGCAGUGAAAUGCGUAGAUAUCAAGAGGAACACCAGUGGCGAAGGCGAGUCCCUGGACAACACCUGACACUGAGGCACGAAAGCUAGGGGAGCAAACGGG
rnacentral:rRNA from 1 species